GGAGCAGGGGAGGCAGUGUGCCGCUGGCCCAGGCCUGGUGGCUGGCUCCCGCCCCCAUUCCCGCCCCUGUAGCUCAGGUUUUCCCAGGAGGGGCCGCCUGCUCAGGUGUCUCCGGAUAGCCAUUUCCAGACAGGAGCAGGGCAAUUGUUCCCUGAACGCAGCCCAGGGAGAGGAGACGCUGUGGCGCUGCAGGAGAGCUGGUAAUUUUGUAACCAGCAAAUGAAAGGGCAGAGAAGAAUCACCAGGAAACCUUUCAUUUGGAGGAACCACCACAGAGAGCACCAUAAUGAAGCUGGUUCUGUGGACGGAGUAGGAGGACAGAGCAAGCCUGCAUUCUUCAUGCAAUCACUCAGCUACUAAUAAUACUGAUUCCUGAGCUACUUCUACCUUUGGACUCCCAGUUAUUUGAUAUAAUAAAUUUUUCAUUGUUUAA